rnacentral:tRNA from 1 species
GGGAUUGUAGUUCAAUUGGUUAGAGCCCAUCCUAACAUGGGUGGAUGCUACGGGUUCAAACCCCGUUAGUCCCA